UACGGAGGGUGCAAGCGUUAUCCGGAUUCACUGGGCUUAAAGGGAGCGCAGGCGGCUUUGUAAGUCAGUGGUGAAAGGCUUAAGCUUAACUUGGGAACUGCCAUUGAUACUAUAAGUCUUGAAUGUUGUUGAGGUUUGCGGAAUGGGUCAUGUAGCGGUGAAAUGCAUAGAUAUGACCCGGAACACCUAUUGCGAAGGCAGCAGGCUAAACAAAUAUUGACGCUGAGGCUCGAAAGCGUGGGGAUCAAACAGG
rnacentral:rRNA from 1 species